UACGUAGGGUGCAAGCGUUGUCCGGAAUUAUUGGGCGUAAAGAGCUCGUAGGCGGUCUGUCGCGUCGGCUGUGAAAACCCGUGGCUCAACCCCGGGCCUGCAGUCGAUACGGGCAGACUAGAGUGCGGUAGGGGAGACUGGAAUUCCUGGUGUAGCGGUGAAAUGCGCAGAUAUCAGGAGGAACACCGGUGGCGAAGGCGGGUCUCUGGGCCGUAACUGACGCUGAGGCGCGAAAGCCAGGGGAGCGAACGGG
rnacentral:rRNA from 1 species